GUUUUGCGUCAGUCGAUUUCUGGUCCGUUGGAUCGUGAUUUGAGAUGUGUGCUGUGGGUUUUUUCUGGAGUGCUUUCUGCUAUUCAUUUGGGCCAGCUAGCGUCGACUGAGCACUAGUUUGGGUCAGUCGAUCCGUUUUCUUGCUGGGCUCGUGCGGCUCGCGGGUGGGGAGCGCGCCCGUUAAGAAGCCCGGCCCGUUUCGAUGGCACACAGAUCAUCGCCGCUCUUCUCGUCUUGUCCCCUUCCUCAUCUCCUCGUGUUCUCAGUCACUUCGUCCCCUCUCUGCCUCAGUGUCUGGCUUCUCCUCUUCCUGCUCUUUUUUCUUUGCUAGAUCUGCUGACUAAGGUGCUUCUGUGUGGUUAUCUAUGUUGUUUGCAGGACUUUCCAAUCGGGCGGUUUGGCUGCUGUAGGAUUGCCUUGGCUGCAUACCAUCCUUUUCCAGGCAAAAAGGGUCGAGCUGAAGACAAGGCAUGAUACACCAGAUGUGAGCAACCUUCAGAAGUGUUGCAUGCUUUUAUGCUUGGAUUUGACAUUGCCGAUGCCGUUGCCUUACUUCGUCUUGAUGACCUGUAUGUGGACUCCUUCGAGAUCAAGGAUGUGAAGACACUCAGAGGGGAGCUUCUGUCACGUGCCAUUUCGCGCCUAUCAGGGAAAGGAGGCAAGACCAAGUAUGCCAUCGAGAACUCUACCAGGACUCGCAUAGUUUCCGGAUUUACCACUCGGCGGAUUUCGUUGCUGAUGGAUUGCCAUUGCUGCAUCUCCUUUUUUUGCCGCUAUGGUUUGCCCUGUUUGUCGUUGUCUGGGUGCCCCUUGUGUACCAUUGGCGCCAGAUCAUGAAGUCCCUGAAGUUUUUGAUGUUGUCCUUGAUGAGGAUUGCUUCAGGAGAAUGGCAAUCUUCCUCUGCAUCACUUUCAUUCUCACCACUACUGCAAUCCAGAUGUCCAGAAUCAACCAGAAGCUAACAUGAAGACUGAUUAAAGGAAGAGGUGGUGGGGAUCAUCUUUUACCUUGCAAAUUCAUGAAGCAGGUUCUUCUCCAGGGCGUUUGGUGGAGAAGGACUUUGCAAGGAAGAAAUUUAGCACAAGAUCUAUAGAGAGUUCAAAAGAGAUAAACACAUCUCAGGUUUGUUUCGGCGUCCAUGGCGGCGGCUGAGUCUUUGCGCUUAUAUCAAGAAAAAGAAAGAGUACAUCGCAAAUACACAUAUGGUGAGAACAUCUAUGAGUCAGCAAGGUCGGCCCAAGCUAUAUCAACUUUAGCGCAGAACUUUUCACGAGCAAGGUUGAAGCAAACUAAAAUUAAAAGACAUGGCUGGUCCAAGCCGCCUGAGGGCGUCAUCAAACUUAAUGUCGAUGUAGCCUUUGAUCAGGACACUGGUACAGGGGGUACGGGAGCAGUGCUGCGUGAUGAGGCCGGUUUCUUUGUCGCUGCUUCCUGCAGUGAUAUACCCUUUGUGGAAGACGCAGCGACGGCAGAGGCUAGAGGACUACGAGAUGGCCUCCUACUAGCGAAUGAAGUUGGUUGCAACAAAAUCUAUGUCGAAGCGGACUGUCUGGAGGUAAUCGAAAUCAUGCUGAGUGGCGGGAUCAGGACACUGGUACAGGGGGUACGGGAGCAGUGCUGUGUGAUGAGGCCGGUUUCUUUGUCGCUGCUUCCUGCAGUGAUAUACCCUUUGUGGAAGAUGCAGCGACGGCAGAGGCUAGAGGACUACGAGAUGGCCUCCUACUAG
rnacentral:rRNA from 1 species